GCCAUCUCGCCAGCGCUGGCAGAUGAGGAGGUGGCUGAAACACUAUCUGACCAGGAAUCCAUCCCGGGCACUGCUCCUGCAAUCUUUCCAGCACUGGCAGAGGAUGAGGUGGCUGGAGGAGAAUCUUGCGAUCAGGAGACACAGACUGAGCCUUUCCUGGCGGAGGGUCUCCAGACUGUCGCCACUGCAGUGCAGGGGAUACAGGAGGCCAUACACAAUUUUUUGUAAAAAGUUUUAAGUUUGUGGAAAAAAAAGUUAAAAUUUAUUUAUAAU